rnacentral:lncRNA from 1 species
CAAACCAAAAGGGAGAUUCAUUCAUUGCAGGAGUAGCCUAGUUUGGUUCAAAACUGAAACAUACUACUUGUCUGAAGCUGGUCCCAAGUUGCUUGCUAUGACAAGACAGUACAUGCAAGAUAUACUCAGGAAUACAUAUAUGCCUCCAAUGGGAAGAGGCCCCAGAUCCUCUUGGGAAUCGGCAGGAAGAAAACAAUCAUCGUAGAAAGAAACUAUCACGUACAGCUUCCUUCAGUAGAUCAGCCAGAGUCCUCACCAUUCUCUUCGCUUCCCUUGUACUGACAAAAUAGCAUGAUGCCCUUGCCUUCGUUGUCAGCGACGUCAUCAGCACCCUGUGCCUUAGCAGCGAUCAGCGAAGCCUGCAACAAGAUCCAGGAUUUCAAUUUCGUAGCCGCAAAUUGCCAUAAAGUAAGUCCUAAAUGGUUACAAACCAUCAGUUAGCUUCAUUCAGUUCUGAGGUACUCAUUGGUCAGCUACGAACAAAUUAAAGUACAUGUAGUGGUAUACAAUACUUAAUUCAAUUAGCUAACCUGGAUGGUAAGCGCCAAGUUAUCCUAAUCUAGUAGUAUUGUAUACUGUUGUCUCAUUUUCCACGCCUGGUCAAGAUGACCUCAUAGAGGAAAGGAGGGGGAUGAUACAUAAAUUAGGCCCAAGAUAAUAGCAACCAUGUAUUCAGACUGCAAUGAUAAGAUUCCUCAAUUGGCUUACUCUCUAGUCUCUACACAUCUCCCCUAACUACCUCACACACACCCUAAAGACCAUGAUUGAAAUAUUUCCUUAAUUGGCUUGCUCUCCUUAACUGACUUGCUACAAAAAAAUAAGAUCCAUUUGGAAUGUGAGUUCAACCGACUUAAUUCGAGUUCAAGGCCAAGGAAAUAUAAAUAAGUGGGAAUGUCUUUAGCAUAAGAUCUGUAAGAAACUUAUAACAAUUUCUUAGGCAAUUAAUAAGUUUUAGCAUGCAGUGCACAACAGCGUGAAGAUACAAACUUACUUUUACGAGGGAAGCAUCCUGAUCUAUUCCCAAGGCCUCCAACUGAAGCUCUGAAGGCACAUACUGAAGAGCAACCUGAUCUUGUACCUAUUAUCUCAUACUCCCUCUGUCCCAAAAUAAGUGUCUCAAGCUUAGUACAACUUUGUACUAAAGCUAGUACAAAGUUGAGACACUUAUUUUGGGACGGAGGGAGUAUAAGCGUCCAUACCAAUAUGUUUGUUGAGCUCAUGCUUUUACCAGAUCUCAAGAAAUACCAAUAGCACAUGUGUUGUUAGACAAAAGAGGAGUCAAUGUAGUAACAAAAAGACAAAAAUCCUCAAGUAACCACCAUAAUCAAGUCACCUCUGUCACAAGAGCCAUAGCUUGCAACCAUGGCCUCUGCUCAAACGGGAAAUUGCAAUAUGUUUCUUUGUCUUCCUGGCAAUGAGAAACUAACUAAGAAAAGACACAUUAAGCAGAAAGUGGCCAGAGAUUCGAAAGAUAUGUACAACCCGAAGGAGGUGACCCAGAACGCGAACUGGAUAGGAGAUGCUAGAUAGAAGAGGCAACUAACAAGAUGACGAUAGUGAGUCAGAUCAUAAGGAGGCUCGCCAUCAGAAGCUCGGAGGUGAACAUUAAGAAAACUGAAUCUGUUUACCAAGUUUACAACCCUAACAUAGAGCAUCUACAACCAGAAUGUACCCCUUCCAUUCCAAAUUAUAAGAUCUUAUAAAAAAAUGAGAAUCGGAUGUAUAUAGACGCGUUUUAGUGUGUUUGUUCACUCAUUUCAGUCUAUGUAGACCAUAUUGAAAUAUCCAAAACAUCUUAUAAUUUGGAACGGAGGUAGUACUAAUUUGAGCCCCUAUAUAUCCUCGGACGUGUCCGGUCACCCCUCAAAUGUCCGCGUCCACAGCCGUCCCCCUCAUAUGCUAACCCCCAAAUCCAUGCAAUGCAUGCAACGUGAAAAUAGCAAGACGUAGAUCAACAUAAAUAGGACAGGACAUACCAAGUUCGACAUAGCAAGACAUAGAUUGUUCGAUAGCAUGUUCAACAUAGCUACAUAGCAAAAUACGAUAGCAAACUACUAGUAGAUGCUAGUAGAUACGGAGGGGAUGCCAGACUUAUCGCUAGUUUGGUUACUACAUCGACUCCUCUUUUGUAGAUACAGAGGGGAUGCCAGACUUAUACCAGGCCAGGCGUGCAGUUGAUUCCCCAGAUCACCAACCAAACAAUGCACAGGCGGCUCCAUGCGCUCUCCAGGCAAGGCACUUCAACUCAAGGACGAGAACCAAACACGCUCUUAACCACUUCCUCGUUGGUCGCUUCCACUUGGGGUCUCCGAAGCAGCGGUUGUAGUCUUCGGCGUAGGCGUCGAUGGCAGGAGGGGAGUCAUCGCCGUUGUUGGUUCUUCCGCUGUCAGAUGAAGAGGAGAAACGGAUCCCGACCACACGCCAAGCAGCGCGGGCCUGCUCCUUAGUGAGUCGGGCGGCUUAUGCCACGGCCGCCGCCUUCUGUUUCGCGAGGCGCUCGGACUUCUCGAUGCCAAUCCGGAGCGCCUUCGCAUUUUUGCCACAACCGCGGCGGUGAGCGUCUGCCUCCACCGAGGUGAAGGACCGGCGGAUGCGUAGNNNNNNNNNNNNNNNNNNNNNNNNNNNNNNNNNNNNNNNNNNNNNNNNNNNNNNNNNNNNNNNNNNNNNNNNNNNNNNNNNNNNNNNNNNNNNNNNNNNNNNNNNNNNNNNNNNNNNNNNNNNNNNNNNNNNNNNNNNNNNNNNNNNNNNNNNNNNNNNNNNNNNNNNNNNNNNNNNNNNNNNNNNNNNNNNNNNNNNNNNNNNNNNNNNNNNNNNNNNNNNNNNNNNNNNNNNNNNNNNNNNNNNNNNNNNNNNNNNNNNNNNNNNNNNNNNNNCUCGAGCGCGGAUCUGCACCACCACCAACCAGGCCGGCUGAAGGCCUGCGCGGCCCUUUUGCCUUCCGUAGCGAGCGACCCGCACCUUCAACUCAGGCAGCCAUGGCAGCAGGCUCUACAGUGCGGGCACGAGCACCCAGCGCCUCUCGGGAGAAGCAAGGGCUAGAGGUGCCAGGCACCACUAGUCGCCCCACCACAUGAAAGGGGAGGGCACGGACAGCGAUGUGCGGCUUCAGGCCAAUGCGGAGCUGCCCCUUCGAUCGCGGAGCUUGAGUUCCCGCUCCUAUCCAUCCAUGAACGGCGAAGGGCAAUGCGGAGGAUGUGCUCCUCGUCGUCCGGGGCGAAGGAGCUAGAUUCCUCCUUGAGCGCCCCCCAGACGAUGGAGUACGACUCGUUGCCGGAUCCGUUGCUGGAGUUGGACAUGGUGUGGGGAGGGGAGGGGACACGAAGUGGACGGAACUACGGAAGGAGACAAGCAGUGGAGCGGAGUAGUCAAGACUAGACUAGGGUUUUGUCCAGGGUGGGGUAUUUGUGGGGUCAGACUAGGCCAGUCCGACGUGGGGGCCGCGUCCGGACCGCCCCACAUUUGGACUAGGUAUGGGCUGGGUAUAGGCGAGUGGUUGGGUGGCGAAUUCGUGACCAGACAAUGAUCGGGUUGUCCCCCCGAACGUUUAGCAGGGGUUUGAGGAGCCUAGUUGUAGAUGCUCUAAGGAUGCCCCCUGAGGCAUACCACAGAAGACCAUGAACUAAAAGGAGGUGCAAGCGAUAUCCUCACCUCCUCCCUCGCCCCCUUACAUUGAUUUUUACUCUUCAUGCCCUCCUUGGUUUGGAAUAAUCAAAACCACAUCGAUACGUUCCUUUCCUUGUCCUAUUGGAAACCAUAUCAUGCAUUAACUCAACCAAAUCUUACCAUAACCAUGUCCCGCAUCAACUCAAUCAAAUUAUAUCUUAUCAAAACCUGAAAUAAAUCAAAACUUUCCUUGCCUUCCCUUACCCUUACCCAACUAAAAUCAAAUCUUAACAAGACCUCGACUAAAUCAAAUCUUUCCUUACCAUCCCCUACCCAUACUCAAAUCAAAUCAAAUCUUACCACAAUCUAGAAUAUGAUGGGCGUAAGGUAUAUGUCGGACAUGAUUGUUAUUGAACCAGUAUAACAUGUAUGCCCCGUUGCAACACAUGGGCAAGUAGCUAGUAGUAUUCAGUGUAGCACUAAAGAAAGCUCUAUUAAACCAGCACCAUGCAGAUGAGUCUCCUCUACGUGUAUCUAUGUGAGUGCCUUCAGAAGAGACAUGGAGCACACUCACAAAGAGUUGGGCAUGUCGUGGCUCAAACUCCUUACAGAGCCACAUCAAGAACUCGGAAAUUUGUUGGAACUCCAGGUCAACACAAACAACCACGCAACAAAAGCACGUGUGACAACCAGCAAUGCAAAGAUAAUCCAACUGACGCUGAAUAGCAGAACUCUAAGCGUAGAACUCAUCAACAGAGGCAUCAUCCUGCUGAAGUUUUGCCCCUGCGGACUGGUAAAUGGCAUCACCAGCCUGUUGGUAUCGCUGACGAAGGUGAGUCCAUAUGAUGAAGGCCGAAAGAGUCACACAAUCUCAUAAGAAAACUGAGGCAGGACAUUCACGACGAAGACGGACACAACACGAGCAAGAGCAUCACCAUCAAGCCACUGAGUGUAGGCAGUUAGCUGGUGGCGGUAAGAGUCCACAGCCUCCACUAAGACUGGGCAGCCAAUUGAUCACUGAUCACGGCAAGAGUUCGAAUCUUUUUCAUAGUUGGGAAAAUCUAACGAGGGGCGUGCGCAUCCUCACCCUCCCGUGCGGCGGGGCGCUGAGAUCCGUGCCUGCGCAUCGCGUGGUUCAGCGAAACGGAAGUAGCGCACACAUCAAGCCCACAGGAUGCUUAGUAUCUAGCAUUGUCUUCCCUGCCGCUCUUCUAUCCCCCCUCCCCUCUCUCUCCUCUAUCCCUUUAUUUCUUCAGCAAGAUCACUCCUCCAUACUGGAGGUAGCUCGUGCCUGCUCUGAUGCGAGCGCGCCUCGGCUUCCAGUGAGCGCAAUCCACGCUCCUUUCUCUCUGUUUUGCAUCACUGUUUUUUGCGGUGUUUUGUUUACAGACUUCAUGGGGUGAUCUUAAUCACCCGCGAGCUAGACGACGAAGGGAUAGAAUGGGGCCCGGGACUCCAGGAGGUGCCACGGGAUCUCUCAGUCACAUGUAUGCGAGCGCUAGGGAUUUUUGACAAGGGGAAGACACGGGCACGAGAAUGGCAAGGUCGGCAACCAGUAUGGCAACUGAUACACCAAAUCUAGAAAGUAGAGACAACUAAUCUGGAAAUUACCCGUACAAAAAAUUCAUUUUUGGUAACUUGACACAAUUAAUUUGGAAAUUAGUACAACCAAUCUGGCAAUUAGAGAUAACUAAUCUAGAAACUAGGUGCAGGUGAGUACAUCAAAUCCAUCUUCGACAACUUGAGACAAUUAAUUUGGAAACCGAUACAGCGAAUCUGGCAUUUAGAGACAACUAAUCUGGAAAUUAGGUGUGGGUGAGUAUAGCAAAUCCAUCUUUGGCAACUUGAGGCAAUUAAUUUGGAAAUUGAUGAAGCUAUUAUGGUAACCAGGGGAAAUAGGCAUGUACAGCAGAUCCCAUCUCCGUAAUUUUUGGCACAAUUACUCUAAAAAUUAAUACUACUAAUCUGGCAACAACAACAACAACAAAGCCUUUAGUCCCAAAUGUUAGGGAAGCAACUUAUCUCUAUUGAAAGACCAUAGGGCAUAUAUAUAUUACAUAAGACUUUAGGUGCAAGGAAAGUAAACAUAGACUAAUAGGACUCCUAAACCAAUACUAUUAGUUCCUAACACCAAACAAGUCGGGGUAGGCUAGAGGUGAAACCCAUAAGAUCUCGCGACCAACUCAUGGCUCUGGCACAUAGAUAGCAAGCUUCCACGCACCCCUGUCCAUAGCUAGUUCUUUGGUGAUACUCCAAUCCUUCAGGUCUCUCUUAAUAGACUCCUCCCAUGUCAAAUUCGGUCUACCCCGACCUCUCCUGACAUUCUCCGCCCGCUUUAGCCGUCCGCUAUGCACUGGAGCGUCUGGAGGCUUGCGCUGAAUAUGCCCAAACCAUCUCAAACAAUGUUGGACAAGCUUCUCUUCAAUUGGUGCUACCCCAACUCUAUCUCGUAUAUCAUCAUUCCGGACUUGAUCCUUCCUCGUGUGGCCACACAUCCAUCUCAACAUACGCAUCUCUGCCACACCUAACUGUUGAACAUGUCACCUUUUAGUCGGCCAACACUCAGCGCCAUACAACAUUGCGGGUCGAACCGUCAUCCUGUAGAACUUGCCUUUUAGCUUUUGUGGCACUCUCUUGUCACAGAGAAUGCCAGAAGCUUGGCGCCACUUCAUCCAUCCGGCUUUGACUCGAUGGUUCACAUCUUCAUCAAUACCCCCAUCCUCCUGCGACUUUGACCCCAAAUAUCGAAAGGUAUCCUUCUGAGGCACCACCUACCCAUCAAGGCUAACCUCCUCCUCCUCACACCUAGUAGUACUGAAACCGCACAUCAUGUACUCGGUUUUAGUUCUACUAAGACCCUUUCGGUUCCAAGGUAUGUCUCCAUAACUCUAACUUCCUAUUUACCCCCGUCCGACUAUCAUCAACUAGCACCAAAUCAUCCGCAAUGAGCAUACACCAUGUGAUAUCUCCUUGUAUAUCCCUUGUGACCUCAUCCAUAACCAAGGCAAAAAGAUAAGGGCUCAAAGCUGACCCCUGAUUAUCCUAUCUUAAUCGGGAGGUCAUCAACGUCGACAUCACUUGUUCGAACACUUGUCACAACAUUAUCAUACAUGUCCUUGAUGAGGGAAAUGUACUUUGCUAGGACUUUGUGUUUCUCCAAGGCCCACCACAUGACAUUCCGCGGUAUCUUAUCAUAGGCCUUCUCCAAGUCAAUGAACACCAUAUGCAAGUCCUCCUUUUGCUCCCUGUAUCUCUCCAUAAGUUGUCGUACCAAGAAUAUGGCUUCCAUGGUCGACCUCCCGGGCACGAAACCAAACUGGCAACUAGACUUAAUACAUCCACUGCUGAAUCAUGCAUUGCCUGAAUAUUAGAUCUUGUUUUACUUGACCAGAGACUUUUUUGUGUCCUUUUUUUUGUCUCUCCUUGGUGUUUUCUGGGGUCAUGCAACAUCAUCCACUGCUGAAUCAUGCAACAUCAUCAGCAACCUUAGCAGCAUGAGAGACAACCUUAUCAACAACAAACAUAGGGAGUGGUGAAGAUUCCACGGGGGCAACAGGGCACAACAGAUAAGAAAUCUUGCCAGAGUAUGCCCAGAGACGCAGACCACGCAAGGGAUGGAAAGGAAGCCCGGUGACAAAGAAAUUGCCUUCUUUUUACAAUGCUUAAAGGGAACCAAGCAAAAUCACAUGAUGUCAGACGAGCAUGGAACAGAGCAAGGACCGACCCACCAAGCAGCGGCAGCGGCACAGGCACCGCUGAAAAUCGGCAAGCAGGGGCACUGGCAGCCAGCUCCUACAACAACAACGGGAUCAUCGCAAAGACCGCAAUGGAGGCUAGCAGCUAGUGAGGAAGAGAGGUGGCGGGGCGCGGAUGCUUCGCUCUAGGACGGUGGCGGCUAGGGUGGGUUGGCGGCUGACGAGCAAGACACGUGGCAGGGCAGGCAUGCUUCGAUGUGGGGCCGCGGCAGCCAGUUCCUAGUACUCAGGCGGGUGGAUUUCCAUAAUUUAUUGUACCUUGAGCCAAUGGAGAGAAAUUCUAACCAUAAUGAACUUUUGCAAGUAAAUUUCCAAAUCCAACCACCAAUGUAGCCACCAAAAUUAGAAGUAACCUUUUCAAGGGAAGAGCCCUUGAAAAAGGUAAAUUUAACAAUAAUUUAGUAUCCAACUGAAUAGCAUAAUUUUACUUUUAGACUACUGUAUUACAAAACAAAUUAUAUUAUUACCAAAUUACAACCAUCAAAGCAGAAUAUAUACUGUGUUACAUACUUGUUUGUUACUCUAGUUUUGGCGGCAAUAUUUUCCACUAAAUGCUCCUAUUAACAUUCUUUGGAUGCUGAUGUGAGUUGGGCAUACAAUUGAGUCAAUCUCUUUUUAAAAACUAAGUCUUUAGAUGCUUUUUGUCCCAUAGCUUGGAGCUAAAUGACAAAAAUGUACCAAACUGGAGGUACAAUAGAAGAUAAAUGAAACAUAUUAAUUAAAAAGGAGAAAAAUGACUCAUGAUUACCAGAGCAUCUCUACCAUCAACUAACUUCCUUAUAAAUAACUAAACUAAGAAGCUAUUUACAUGCUCUACUAUCAACAAAAACAACAAAAGCCUUUAGUCCCCUUAGAAGACAUAAAUAUUUCCCCUUUAAGCAUAAAUUAGUGGAAAUGUCUAUAGCAUAAGAUCUGUUGUUAAAUACUCCCUCCGUCCCAUAAUAUAAGAGUGUUUUUGAUACUACACUAGUGUUAAAAACGCUCUUAUAUUAUGGGACGGAGGGAGUAUUAUGCAAGGAGAAACUCGGUGGAAUCAACAAAUAUUAGCAUGCAGUGCAGUAUGGUGUGAAUACACAAGCUUAUGUCAUCUAAUCUGCUAUGAGAUGCUAUAUUCCAUCAGUGAGAAAGAGUAGUACUAUCCGCCACUGGAAAGAUAUAAUGUGAAAUGAUGACAAUAAAAUAAGUAUGGACAAGAUUUUAAAAAUUGUGAUGUACCUAAGCCACUGGAGAGAAGUUCUGACCACAAUGGGCUUCUGUGAGCAUAUUUCUAAAUUCCACCACCAGUACUAGAAGUUUUGCAGACA